CUGCAGCCCGGCCUGAGUGGAAAUCCUUUUUUGCUUGUACUUACAUUCUAUUUGAACUGGAAACUUUCUGCAAAAAAGAUUGGGAACGGAGGACGGAAAAGCU
rnacentral:sRNA from 1 species